GCCCGGGUGGUGAAACUGGUAGACACGCAAGACUUAAAAUCUUGUGGCUGAAUAAGCCGUGCGGGUUCGAGUCCCGCCCCGGGCA
rnacentral:tRNA from 1 species